rnacentral:tRNA from 1 species
AUAUAUAAUGAUAUAUAAGUAUUAAGUAUAUUUAAUUUCCAAUUAAAAGGAGAAUUAAUUAUAUUUUUUGUUUU